rnacentral:rRNA from 1 species
UACGGAGGGUGCAAGCGUUGUCCGGAAUCACUGGGCGUAAAGCGCGCGCAGGCGGCCCGUUAUGUCGGGUGUGAAAUCCCUCGGCUCAACUGAGGAAUUGCGCCCGAAACUGGCGGGCUUGAGUGCGGGAGGGGGAGGUGGAAUUCCCGGUGUAGAGGUGAAAUUCGUAGAUAUCGGGAAGAAUACCGGUGGCGAAGGCGACCUCCUGGCCCGUUACUGACGCUCAGGCGCGAAAGCGUGGGGAG